AGUGAACGCUGGCGGUAGGCCUAACACAUGCAAGUCGAACGGCAGCACAGUAAGAGCUUGCUCCUACGGGUGGCGAGUGGCGGACGGGUGAGGAAUACAUCGGAAUCUACUUUUUCGUGGGGGAUAACGUAGGGAAACUUACGCUAAUACCGCAUACGACCUACGGGUGAAAGCAGGGGAUCUUCGGACCUUGCGCGAUUGAAUGAGCCGAUGUCGGAUUAGCUAGUUGGCGGGGUAAAGGCCCACCGAGGCGACGAUCCGUAGCUGGUCUGAGAGGAUGAUCAGCCACACUGGAACUGAGACACGAUCCAGACUCCUACGGGAGGCAGCAGUGGGGAAUAUUGGACAAUGGGCGCAAGCCUGAUCCAGCCAUACCGCGUGUGUGAAGAAGGCCUUCGGGUUGUAAAGCCCUUUUGUUGGGAAAGAAAAGCAGCAGGUUAAUACCCCGCUGUUCUGACGGUACCCAAAGAAUAAGCACCGGCUAACUUCGUG
rnacentral:rRNA from 1 species